rnacentral:ncRNA from 1 species
UCUCCCGCUUUACCUCCCUGAGCGGGUGCCUUAAUCAAGUUAAUUAAGGCAUUUCGGCCCCCGGUUACCCCUUUACCGGGGGCUUUUUUAU